rnacentral:misc_RNA from 1 species
GAGCGUCAUUUCAACCCUCAAGCUCAGCUUGGUAUUGGGUGUCACUUAGCAAUAGGUGCAUCUUAAAAUCAGUGGUGGUGCCAUCUGGCUUCAAGUGUAGUAAUUCUCUCACUUUGGAGGUUUGGAUGUGUGCUUGCCAUCAACCCUCUAAUUUAUCAAUGGUUGACCUCGGAUCAGGUAGGGAUACCCGCUGAACUUAA